UACGUAGGGAGCAAGCGUUGUUCGGAUUUACUGGGCGUAAAGGGCGCGUAGGCGGCGCGGUAAGUCACUUGUGAAAUCUCUGAGCUUAACUCAGAACGGCCAAGUGAUACUGCAGUGCUAGAGUGCAGAAAGGGCAAUCGGAAUUCUCGGUGUAGCGGUGAAAUGCGUAGAUAUCGAGAGGAACACCUGCGGCGAAGGCGGGUUGCUGGGCUGACACUGACGCUGAUGCGCGAAAGCUAGGGGAGCGAACGGG
rnacentral:rRNA from 1 species